AGUGAACGCUGGCGGUAGGCCUAACACAUGCCAGUCGAACGGCAGCACAGUAAGAGCUUGCUCUUACGGGUGGCGAGUGGCGGACGGGUGAGGAAUACAUCGGAGUCUACUUUUUCGUGGGGGAUAACGUAGGGAAACUUACGCUAAUACCGCAUACGACCUACGGGUGAAAGCAGGGGAUCUUCGGACCUUGCGCGAUUGAAUGAGCCGAUGUCGGAUUAGCUAGUUGGCGGGGUAAAGGCCCACCAAGGCGACGAUCCGUAGCUGGUCUGAGAGGAUGAUCAGCCACACUGGAACUGAGACACGGUCCAGACUCCUACGGGAGGCAGCAGUGGGGAAUAUUGGACAAUGGGCGAAAGCCUGAUCCAGCCAUACCGCGUGGGUGAAGAAGGCCUUCGGGUUGUAAAGCACUUUUGUUGGGAAAGAAAAGCAGCAGGUUAAUACCCCGCUGUUCUGACGGUACCAAAAGAAUAAGCACCGGCUAACUUCGUG
rnacentral:rRNA from 1 species